CCAACAUGGAUACCCUGGGAGGUCACUCUCCACAGGCUCUGUCCUAGUGGUGUAGGGGACCAUCACAUUCUGCCCCAUGAUGUACAGUCCCUUUCCACAAUGUUGGAGAUGAAGCUGGGCUUCAAGGCUGCACCUGCCUAUCCCUACAAUGUCCCAGAGUCCCAGACAAGGAAUGGGGAGGCAAACCAUGUAAGAAACAAGU
ensembl:snoRNA SNORA73 Small nucleolar RNA SNORA73 family